ACCGGGAUGUUCAUAACCCUUUGCUGUCCGACUCUGUUGCCUCCGGGGCGACCCUGCCUUCGGGCGGGGGCUCCGGGUGGACACUUCAAACUCUUGCGUAACUUUGCAGUCUGAGUAAACUUAAUUAAUAAAUUAAAACUUUUAACAACGGAUCUCUUGGUUCUGGCAUCGAUGAAGAACGCAGCGAAAUGCGAUAAGUAAUGUGAAUUGCAGAAUUCAGUGAAUCAUCGAAUCUUUGAACGCACAUUGCGCCCCCUGGUAUUCCGGGGGGCAUGCCUGUUCGAGCGUCAUUUCACCACUCAAGCCUCGCUUGGUAUUGGGCAACGCGGUCCGCCGCGUGCCUCAAAUCGACCGGCUGGGUCUUCUGUCCCCUAAGCGUUGUGGAAACUAUUCGCUAAAGGGUGUUCGGGAGGCUACGCCGUAAAACAACCCCAUUUCUAAGGUUGACCUCGGAUCAGGUAGGGAUACCCGCUGAACUUAAGCAUAUCAAAA
rnacentral:rRNA from 1 species